rnacentral:rRNA from 1 species
UACGAAGGGUGCAAGCGUUACUCGGAAUUACUGGGCGUAAAGCGUGCGUAGGUGGUUUGUUAAGUCCGAUGUGAAAGCCCUGGGCUCAACCUGGGAAUGGCAUUGGAUACUGGCAGGCUAGAGUGCGGUAGAGGGCAGUGGAAUUCCCGGUGUAGCGGUGAAAUGCGCAGAUAUCGGGAAGAACACCUAUGGCGAAGGCAGCUCUCUGGGACGGUACUGACGCUGAGACGCGAAAGCGUGGGGAGCGAACAGG